CAGCUUGUUCAGCAAGUUUUUUCCUUGGCCUAGAAACAUUGUUAGGGAGAAAUGUUAUGUGAUCUUAUGAUGUUUGCUUUUCUACAUACUCACAUAAAGUUGAAUCCCAUUAUAUUGAAAAUAUAAUAUAUGAAAUAAAUACCACAUAUCAAAUGUGUGUCUUUAUUUUUUCAUGAUGUAUAUUUGUGUUAACAUUUGACCCCUUUUGUUUGGCAUUCAUUCAGAGGCUGUUGCCUGCUGAGCCAGAUGCAUUCCAGUGGUUCAGAUCCUCGGACAGCCUAAUGCAAGCUGUGGUAUGACUCAUGACUGGAGUUUUAUUUGGGUGCUCGCUAUGACUAGUCGUAAGCGAACCUAUUGUAUUUCAAGGAAUUAUUAAUAUUACUCUUUUCUACGGAAGCUUGCCUUUUGGGGGGUGGGGGGGUGGGGCUUUAUCAUAUCCAAAAAGUUUCUAAAUUUGGCAUGCAUACCAGGGCUGGUGAACAAUUUGAUCAUUUCAGGGUCUCACAUUUGGAUAUAAAGAAAUGCCCAUAGCGCCCCCUAGAAAUGAGAAAAACACCACAAUACCCCAGUUUUCCCCCAAUGCCUGGUUGACGUGAAAUUUGGCAUACAUGUGCUCUUGGACAUGCUCUACAAAAAUGCGCCUAACUACAUUUUCCGCUAUUAUGAAUUUGUGAAAAACCCAUUUUUCCCCAUUUCUCCUAAACGCUGUGUGGCUUAAUCUGGCGAGACACGUAAUUUCCAAAUUAAUUUUGGCCGAGGGACCAGCAACCACAUACAUUCACACCUCUAAUCGCUAAACCUACCAAUACAGGCGAUAGUGGAAGCGUUGUCUUGUUCGAGUCCAAAGAAGAGCAAAAAUCACCUUUGUUUAUUUAAGGAAGUUCUCAGAAAACAUUUUGACAGGGAGGAAACAGUACUGAGGGUAAUAGACGUCAACGCGACACCAGCUUUAUCUUUGAAUGCUCUCUCAUUAAACCCAGCUGGUAUGAAAGGGGACGAAUGGAGCGCGUCACUGUAGUUAAAGGAGUAUUUGCUGAGUUGGAAUGCAGCUCAACCAGACAUAUUCAAUGACGGGAACAAUCAUUGUUUUAUAAAUGAACAGAGAAAAGGCCAUAAUUAAAACUUAGUUAAGGCGCAUUUUGCAAGCUAUCUGCUACUAAGGAAUUUGCCGUCAUCGGUAUCACAUACUGUGCGUUUCUAUGACAUGCUGUGUUUCUUCCCUUUAUUCUCCCCAUCAAAUGCUUUUUAAUUUGUGGGGUUUUUCCUGUGCCGAUGUGAGGGUUUCUGCACAGAGGAUUCACAUCCUCUGUGGAGGACUUGUUCGCUUCCAGGUCUCUGAAGCGAGCUAAAAAGAUCGCGGCCGACCCCUCUCACCCCGGACAAAACCUGUUUGUGCCCCUUCCAUCUGGCAGGAGACUGAGGUCCAUCAGGACUAAGACCUCCCGCCACACCAACAGUUUCUUCCCGUCGGCAGUCGGGCUCAUCAACAGAGCCGGUCCCCCACUGCCUGACUAUAACACUCCACCGGUCACUCCCCUCACACUGCACAUGUCACUUUAACUGCAAUUCAUCACUUUGUCACUUGUCACUUUGUCUCUUGUCUGUUACUUGUUUGUUAGUGCACUUUAUGCUUAAUAUUUUUCUUUUUAACUUUUUAAUAUUUAUAAUUUGUUUAACUUUAUUCCCUUGUUUUUUUACUAACCCAUAGCCUUAUUCUACUAACCCAUUGCAUUAGCAUUUCAUUCCACUUUAUUUUAUUACCUGUGCACUGUUGUCUUGUUUGUCUACUGUCGCGCACUAACCGCCAAGACAAAUUCCUUGUAUGUUUGACAUAUUUUGGCCAAUAAAUGUUUCCUGAUUCCUGAUUCCUGAUUCCUGACAUGUGUACAGACUGUAAAGACCUCUGAGGCAAAUUUGAGGCUAUAAGCCCGACAAAGUAUCGCACACAAGUUAACGUUAAAUGCGUAAAAUAUUGGUAAAAUAUAUAGGCUCAUUUUAAGUGGCUCAUCACUCUAAUCAAUCAGAUUAUAUUACUUUAAAUGUGUCUGUGUGUCUCUGUUAAUCUGUGUGAGCGAGUGAGGAACAGGAUCUUCUCCCGCACCCUGCCUACGCUACAGAUGUGUUGCUAUGGGGAUUUAGCCAAACCUGCUUUGGGGAGCUGAAAAGCCGGAUCUACAUCAUCUCAUCCUGAAGAUGAUCCGGCUAACUCAGUUAGCCACGUAUGAGGAACAGGGCUGUGGUGUGCACACAGACGCGCGUGAGACAGAGCAGAUUGACGCCUUAACACUGACGGGGAAGAAGUAAUAGUAAUAAGUAAUUUUGUAAUUUCUUCUGGCCAUACAUGAAGAAAGUAUGUUUCUAAGCACAUUAAAACCUGUUGCACAUGCCGCUGCCGGCAGGGGGGACAGUCAUCUUCAAGAGGGCGCCGCUGCCUGGAUGUAACGCAGUGUUAAAAAUAGGUCUAACACAGGGGUCCCCACACUGGCUCGCAAGCCACUUUUCACUGGCGAUCCACCCCCCUCCCCCUCGGGCAGCGUGGUGACCUGACGUGAUUCAUUUCCAAUGGAAGGGAUCUACUGGCACCGCGUUGGGCCGCACCGGACCCCCGGCAGGCCGGAUUCUCUGCAGUCUGGUAAUAUAAAAAUAUCGGGGGAGAAAAUAUCUGUUGAGAGCAUUUAGAGCAUGUCAACGUUUCUUCUUUAAAGAAUUUAAUUUCUUGAAACACAUUGUAACACAAGGACAGUUUGCACUUAAUUAGAUUAAUUAAAGCACACAAAUAAAUUGAUAUAAAGCUCUUACCUUGGCUUUACACCAAGUCACAGAAAAUUGCGACUGCUCCGUAUCUGUCAGGUAUGCAUCAGAACUAGAGUCUGUGUGCGUGGGUACAUUGGACUGGUGACCACUUUACACUCUGGUGAAAAGAAAUUAUUCAAAAACAAAUUCAGUCGACAAGAGCUUGCUGUCUCUUUCUCGCGCCAUUCGAAUAACAAUUUUAUGUCAUAGUAGUGUUAACAGUACACAGGACAUAGUUGCAGAAAGCUUCUGUCCAUUUUCUACACUUAAAUGGUAAAAAUGAAUAGAACACGUUUACUUUUGAUUUUUUCUGUACAGAAAAACGUUGUUUUAGCUUCCAUUGGUUCCCUUUACAUCUGUUCACCUUUACUUACCUUUAUAGAAUGUUAAAAUGAUUUAUCUCUUAUGUGGAUACAUGUAGUUACACAACACCAUGAUGGAAAUGUAAGCAUUCUUUGUACUAAGCAUAUAAACAUUUUACACAUUAGAAAACCUUUGGCUUAGAAUUCAUCGUGUGAGUGAGUAGACAGAAUACAACUCAGGUGUCUUGUUUGUCUCAUUAAACAUGGACUCUCUGGGUUUGUUAUGUCGUUAUUCACAUCAUUAGCAAACCACACAUUUGUUUUGCUCAAUGAGUUUUGUUGUUGUUGGAAAACAAUGAGGCCCCAAGUCGAAGAGGUGAGAUGAUGGUGGCAAAAACAUGAAGUGAGAGUAGGUGUGUGUGUGGCCAGGGACCAGCAACCACCACAUACAUUCACACCUCUAAUUGAAGGCUGUUGCAUCACAUCAGCAUAGUCAUCAAAACACAGAUUGUUGUUAAAAUGACAGGGCAGUACUAUAGCUAGACAAGUUCAGCCACAUAUCAUCCCCCUCUUUAUCUCCAACUUCUUCACCAAAAUGUGCCCCCCGUUCUAUUUUGAACCGAGUUUAUGAAUAGUUGAGAAAUGGAUAAGAUGGAUAAGUGGAUCCUAAUGGAGACUAUUGGAAAGUAGAAGCAUCAGUGGCUGCACAAGCAUUCCUCGUGAAGAGAGAAAUCACUUGUAGAAUGUAAAGAACGCACAAAUAAGCUUUAUAACUCAGCUCGGAAAGAUUGCAUAGGUUGUGUAACAGCAUACAAAUACGUUUUGUGCUGCUUUGUGCCCUUUUUGAAAAGUGCUAAGCGCUCCGGAUCAGUGCGUACGGCCUCUACAAGACGUUCUAUUGCUAACCCCACCAAUACAGGCGAUACUGUGCAAAAAACUCAAACAAGACAUUGUGCAGUGUCAUAAUCGCACGUCCCACGUUAGAAGGCGGAAGAAUCGAUCACCAACACCAGGAUUAUCCAACAGUACAACGGCAAGAAACUCAAAGGAAAUCUUUUACGUUGCUUUUUCUGUUCUGUAUUCUGUGAGUAGGAGACAGUAUGAGAGACAGUGUGAGAGACAGUGUGUGAGACAGUCUGUGGGACAGUGUGAGAGACAGUUUGUGGGACAGUGAAUGAGAUAUGAGAGACUGUGUGUGAGACAGUCUGUGGGACAGUGUGAGAGACAGUCUGUGGAAGAGUGAAUGAGAUAUGAGAGACAGUGUGAGAUGCAGGCUGUGGGACAGUGAAUGAGAUAUGAGAGACAGUAAAUGAGAUAUGAGAGACAAUGUAUGAGAUGGACUGUGGGACAGUGUGAGAGACAGUUUGUGGGACAGUGUGAGAGAUAGUCUGUGGGAGAGUGAAUGAGAUAUUAGAGACAGUGUGAGAGACAGUCUGAGAGACAGUGCGAGAGACAGUCUGUGGGCCAGUAAAUGAGAUAUUAGAGACAUUGUGUGAGACGGUCUGUGGG
ensembl:lncRNA